GGGCUGUGUGGAGGGCCUAGAUACUGACACCGCUUGCAAAGAGGUCAGAAGCUAGUACCAUGCAGACAUGGCUUGGAGGAGCAACAGGAAGGCAACUUGGAGGAAAUUCAGGCUUCCCCUGGGCACUCUCUGUUCUCAUCUUCCUAGAGUGAUGGGACCAGAUGCCAUGAUCUUAGUAACCCCCAAACUUGUUGGCAUGACACACACAACAGUCUUCCCUAAGAAGUGGGAUCUGGAUCCACUUCUACCCGUCCUCCAUCCCCUCUCAUCACUCCUUGCUUUGAGUCCUAAGUGGAUAAGAAUCCUGGCAAUGCAGAUGUGGGUUCAAUCCCUGGCCCAGGAAGAUUUCACACGCGUUGGAGCAACUAAGCCCAUGUGCCACAACUGCUGAGCCCAUGCAACGAGAGAAGCCACCAAUGAGAAGCCCACACACCACAACGA
ensembl:lncRNA